rnacentral:lncRNA from 1 species
UUUUUUUUUUUUUUUACUCAGAGCGAAGACUUUUAAUGAAUAUAGUUUUCAAACACACUGGAGAAUCAGGCAAUGCUUCCUGCAUUGGGUGCAAUCCUGGGCCACAAGUCUGCACACUCCUUUGCAACUGGACCUGUGAUAGCAGAACCUUCCAUCUCACCUUUAUUGUUUACUAUGACCCCUGCAUUAUCUUCAAAAUAAAGGAACACCCCGUCUUUUCUUUGCUAUGACUUUCAUUGUCGAGUCACCACUGCCGGAUGUACCUUUUCCCUUAAUUCUGGUUUGCCCUUCUUAACUGUGGCCAUCACCAUGUCGCCCACACCAGCAGCAGGAAGUCUGUUCAGCCGUCCUUUGAUUCCCUUCAUAGAGAUGAUAUACAAGUUUUUGGCUCCUGUGUUGUCACCACAGUUGAUCAUAGCUCCUACUGGAAGACCCAGGGAAGUUCGGAAUUUCGCUCCAGAGGACCCACCACGUCCUCGCUUCGACAUCUUGAGCGUC